rnacentral:rRNA from 1 species
ACAAGCAGUGAAUGUGCUUUGGGGUGGGGUGACUGCGUACCUUUUGUAUAAUGGGUCAGCGACUUAUAUUCUGUAGCAAGGUUAACCGUAUAGGGGAGCCGUAGGGAAACCGAGUCUUAACUGGGCGAAUGAGUUGCAGGGUAUAGACCCGAAACCCGGUGAUCUAGCCAUGGGCAGGUUGAAGGUUGGGUAACACUAACUGGAGGACCGAACCGACUAAUGUUGAAAAAUUAGCGGAUGACUUGUGGCUGGGGGUGAAAGGCCAAUCAAACCGGGAGAUAGCUGGUUCUCCCCGAAAGCUAUUUAGGUAGCGCCUCGUGAACUCAUCUUCGGGGGUAGAGCACUGUUUCGACUAGGGGGUCAUCCCGACUUACCAACUCGAUGCAAACUACGAAUACCGAAGAAUGUUAUCACGGGAGACACACGGCGGGUGCUAACGUUCGUCGUGAAGAGGGAAACAACCCAGACCGCCAGCUAAGGUCCCAAAGUCAUAGUUAAGUGGGAAACGAAGUGGGAAGGCUCAGACAGCCAGGAUGUUGGCUUAGAAGCAGCCAUCAUUUAAAGAAAGCGUAAUAGCUCACUGGUCGAGUCGGCCUGCGCGGAAGAUGUAACGGGGCUAAACUAUGCACCGAAGCUGCG